rnacentral:rRNA from 1 species
GACGAACGCUGGCGGCGUGCUUAACACAUGCAAGUCGAACGGAAAGGCCUCUUUCGGGGGGUACUCGAGUGGCGAACGGGUGAGUAACACGUGAGUAACCUGCCCUUGACUUUGGGAUAACUUCAGGAAACUGGGGCUAAUACCGGAUAGGAGCUCCUGCUGCAUGGUGGGGGUUGGAAAGUUUCGGCGGUUGGGGAUGGACUCGCGGCUUAUCAGCUUGUUGGUGGGGUAGUGGCUUACCAAGGCUUUGACGGGUAGCCGGCCUGAGAGGGUGACCGGCCACAUUGGGACUGAGAUACGGCCCAGACUCCUACGGGAGGCAGCAGUGGGGAAUAUUGCACAAUGGGUGGAAGCCUGAUGCAGCAACGCCGUGUGCGGGAUGACGGCCUUCGGGUUGUAAACCGCUUUCGCUCAUGACGAAGCUUUGUGUGACGGUAGCGGGUAAAGAAGCACCGGCUAACUACGUG